UUCCGGUUGAUCCUGCCGGAGGCUACUGCUAUUGGAAUUCGAUUAAGCCAUGCGAGUUUAAAGGACUUCGGUCCUUGGCAGACGGCUCAGUAACACGUGGAGAACCCGCCCUCAGGAGGGGGAUAACCCCGGGAAACUGGGAAUAAUACCCCAUAGGUCUAGAAUGCUGGAAUGCUUCUAGGCUCAAAGCUCCGGCGCCUGAGGAUGGCUCUGCGGCUUAUCAGGUUGUAGUGAGAGUAACGUCCUCACUAGCCUAUGGCGGGUACGGGCCCUGAGAGGGGAUGCCCGGAGAUGGACUCUGAGACACGAGUCCAGGCCCUACGGGGCGCAGCAGGCGCGAAAACUCCGCAAUGCUCGAAAGAGUGACGGGGGGAUUCCAAGUGCCUACGCUUAGCGUAGGCUGUUCAGAUGCCUAAAAAGCAUCUGGAGUAAGGGCUGGGUAAGACGGGUGCCAUCUGUGGCAGCAGCCGAAGAUUUGGCUUGUUGCUGCAAGGCAUAAGCCGCCGCGGUAAUACCCGCAGCCCGAGUGGUAGUCGAUUUUAUUGGGCCUAAAGCGUCCGUAUCCGGUCUGAUAAAUGCCUGGGUAAAUCGUCUGGCUUAACCAGACGAAUUCCGGGUAGACUGUCAGACUUGGGACCGGUUGAGGAAGAGGGUACUUUA
rnacentral:rRNA from 1 species